CGGGGCGUAGCUUAGUUCGGUUUAAAGCGUCGGGCUGGGGGUCCGAAGAUCGCUGGUUCGAAUCCAGUCGCCCCGACCA
rnacentral:tRNA from 2 species